UGAGUUCUUCAACACUGCGGCGUGCCACUAUUUAUGAGGAAAAGAAUGAGGUCAGAUGAUGGCAUGGGGUCCUAUGAACUACUAUUGUCUUCUACCUCUCCACUCUCCUUCAUCAGACCUGCUGAUCUGGAAGCAGACAGUGACCCUGCUCCUCACACGCAGAGGAAACGUCGUGUGCAGAGGACUGACCCUGCUGCACUCUGGCAAGAGGUGCUUACUGGGACCGACUUUCCAUAAGGUCAUCUUGGACAUCGGCUUCCGUUGCUGAGAAAUAACAGGCCACUUGUCAGUGUCUCUGUUUUUGAACCACAUGAGCCUCUUACACAUCAACACUGGGCUGACAGAGCCUUCAAAUGUGACUUUCAAGCUGCCAUAGGCUCUCCAUGGCCUCGUGUGUCAGUGGUAGAAUUUUUAAUAAACUAAGGAUGAAUAUCAGUUUA